rnacentral:rRNA from 1 species
AUUGAACGCUGGCGGCAGGCCUAACACAUGCAAGUCGAACGAGUGGCGGACGGGUGAGUAAUGUCUGGGAAACUGCCUGAUGGAUGGGGAUAACUACUGGAAACGGUAGCUAAUACCGCAUACCAUCGGAUGUGCCCAGAUGGGAUUAGCUAGUAGGUGGGGUAUCGGCUCACCUAGGCGACGAUCCCUAGCUGGUCUUAGCGGAUGACCAGCCACACUGGAACUGAGACACGGUCCAGACUCCUACGGGAGGCAGCAGUGGGGACUAGUGCACAAUGGGCGCAAGCCUGAUGCAGCCAUGCCGCGUGUAUGAAGAAGGCCUUCGGGUUGUAAAGUACUUUCAGCGGGGAGGCGUUACCCGCAGAAGAAGCACCGGCUAACUCCGUGCCAGCAGCCGCGGUAAUUC